rnacentral:rRNA from 1 species
ACGGGUGAGUAACGCGUAGGUAACCUGCCUGGUAGCGGGGGAUAACUAUUGGAAACGAUAGCUAAUACCGCAUAAGAGUAGAUGUUGCAUGACAUUUGCUUAAAAGGUGCAAUUGCAUCACUACCAGAUGGACCUGCGUUGUAUUAGCUAGUUGGUGGGGUAACGGCUCACCAAGGCGACGAUACAUAGCCGACCUGAGAGGGUGAUCGGCCACACUGGGACUGAGACACGGCCCAGACUCCUACGGGAGGCAGCAGUAGGGAAUCUUCGGCAAUGGACGGAAGUCUGACCGAGCAACGCCGCGUGAGUGAAGAAGGUUUUCGGAUCGUAAAGCUCUGUUGUAAGAGAAGAACGAGUGUGAGAGUGGAAAGUUCACACUGUGACGGUAUCUUACCAGAAAGGGACGGCUAACUACGUGCCAGCAGCCGCGGUAAUACGUAGGUCCCGAGCGUUGUCCGGAUUUAUUGGGCGUAAAGCGAGCGCAGGCGGUUAGAUAAGUCUGAAGUUAAAGGCUGUGGCUUAACCAUAGUACGCUUUGGAAACUGUUUAACUUGAGUGCAAGAGGGGAGAGUGGAAUUCCAUGUGUAGCGGUGAAAUGCGUAGAUAUAUGGAGGAACACCGGUGGCGAAAGCGGCUCUCUGGCUUGUAACUGACGCUGAGGCUCGAAAG